rnacentral:piRNA from 1 species
UCUAAAAUAUCUUGGGUGUUAGUUGAAC